rnacentral:rRNA from 1 species
AUGGGAGUCUUGCCAUGGAGCUGCCGCUGUGGACUCAACCCCACCCCCAGCAAGAACAGGGGUGCGCCCGCGCGUCCUCCUCCUCCUCCUCCUGCUGCCCGAGUAAGGAGGUCCAAAUACACGGGACAAUCUGUGAGAGCAAUGCCUAUGCGCGUGCUGACAGUUGGCAAGAAGAGGUCUCAGGGGACACAACUUCUUGUUGAAGAGUACAAGGAGAAACUCGGUCACUACUGCGAUGUUGAGGACACCCUCAUCAAAUCCAACCCAAAACUCACAAGCGAUGUUAAGGUGCAAAUUGAAGCAGAAGAUGCGUCUAUGAUGCAGCAGCUCAAGGCUGAAGAUUUUGUUGUUGUGUUGGAUGAAAACGGGAAGGAUGUCAUGUCUGAGCAGAUAGCUGAUCUGAUUGGGGAUGCUGGCAACACGGGAUCGUCAAGGCUCACAUUUUGUAUUGGCGGGCCAUAUGGUCUUGGAAUACAAGUACGAGAGCGGGCGGAUGCAACAAUUAGGUUAUCCUCACUGGUUUUGAACCACCAAGUCGCUUUAAUAGUUCUAAUGGAGCAGCUCUACAGGGCGUGGACAAUCAUCAAAGGACAAAAGUAUCAUCACUAG